CCUGAUUUUUACCUAAAACGCACAUGGUCCGUCACAUGCGUCCGGGUGCCUCUUUUCAGCAUUGUCUGGGGGGAGGUCGGUGCAUGGGGGUCAUGGAAGCCUAAA
rnacentral:sRNA from 1 species